AAAAAGGCGGAGCAUAAACAGAUGAUAUAAGUACCACCUUACCUGUUUUCAAAUAGCUGGAAAAGAAGGCGGAGCAUGAUUAAAAGAGUGUGCCGCAUCAUGCAUAGCUGAGGAAAAAGGAGAACGACACACUAUUGUUGAGGUAAAUUGUUUUUCUGAUGUUGUCAGAUAGUGAAAACCAGCCAAUAUACAGCCAAGACUCUGAGGCAUCUGUGUGUGGAAUUGGGAAACUUGAGAAGCUUAAUGCUUAUAUUGAAAUAACAAAUGUUUCUCCAAUAAAAGAAAAGACAACACCAUUUAGUACUUCCUUUGAGAAAGCAAGAAAAAAAAGUGUAUCCAAAGCAUUGGAGUGCCUUUAUACUGAUAUUUACAGAACAAUAUGCCCAGGUGAAGGAAAGAAUUGGAAACCAUGGUUUUACAGGCAAAAAAACCUCUUUUUAAUAAAAAGAUUACAACAUUAGAUCAAACUAGCUUUAUCCUUAAGGGAGUAUAUUUACAAGUCUUGGACUUUAUAGAGGCAAACACUGUCUAUUAUUUGCAAGGACUUUUGGAGAGAUUAAGGAAUUAUUACCUAAUGUGUCAGCCUGGAAGUUGAGGAAGGCCAAGCACCAUACAAAUGAUGUUGGAUGAUGGUGUCAGCCUGAAAGUUCAAUAAGGCCAAGCAC